rnacentral:rRNA from 1 species
UGGUUGUCGCUGGCCCUUUCGGGGGCAUGUGCACGCCUUCUCUUUCAUCCACACACACCUGUGCACUUGUGAGACGGAGGGACUUUAAUUAGUCUUCCGUCUACUUAAUUACACAAACUCAUUUAAUUAAAUUGAAUGUAAUUGAUGUAACGCAUCAUUAGAACUAAGUUUCAACAACGGAUCUCUUGGCUCUCGCAUCGAUGAAGAACGCAGCGAAAUGCGAUAAGUAAUGUGAAUUGCAGAAUUCAGUGAAUCAUCGAAUCUUUGAACGCACCUUGCGCUCCUUGGUAUUCCUUGGAGCAUGCCUGUUUGAGUAUCAUGAAAUUCUCAAAGUAAAUCUUUUGUUAAUUCAACUGGUUUGCUUUGGACUUGGAGGUCUUUGCAGAUUUCACCUCUGCUCCUCUUAAAUUUAUUAGCUGGAUCUCAGUAUAUGCUUGGUUCCACUCGGCGUGAUAAGUAUCACUCGCUGAGGACACUGUAAAAAGUGGCCAGGAAAUGCAGAUGAACCGCUUCUAACAGUCUAUUAAGUUAGACAAUUAAUUUAAGAUCUGAUCUCAAAUCAGGUAGGACUACCCGCUGAACUUAAGCAUAUCAAUAGCCGGGGAGAAAGGGA